UAUAAACGCUGUCAUGCUACCUUUGUCUAUUUACUAGCAAGUGUUGGUUUGGAAGUACUCGCCAUACUUUCAUUGACAUUUAAAUUAAGCAUGGUGCUUAGGUUAAAUAGCCUUCCUUAAUCUGAUUAGACAUGGAGUCUAGUUUGGUUAUUGAACUAAAAAAAACUGCUUGAGUAGAUAUUGGUAUAUUUUGUCGGACUAACCCCUGCAGAAAAACUUUCAAUAUCGAUUUGGGAAGUCCUGAGAUAAACUCACAUCUGAGACGAAGAGAGUGACACAUGAAGUUUAACAAUUUGCACAAGAAGGACAUAACUCACUCAUCAUAGAGAGAUGAUCCAUGGAGGGUGCCACAAACACGAUGCACAACCGCUAAGAAAGGAAAGCUUCCACAAGAUGAUACUGUACCAUCACUCUUCGAGCAAGGUAACAUCUUAAGGUACUUGACUAUCACUUUUAUAAGCUUCUCCUUGGUUCUGGCGUUCAUAUAAAUAAAAGAGACAAACGUGUAUGAUUUACAACUCUAGAUUAACCAACCCAACUGAUUCAACAUGUUUAGUCCUUUAAUCCUUGUUCUUAGUACUACCUCCAUGAUCCCACACUCCUAAUCAUAUGAGCUAAAAUGUUACACAUUCAAUCAUAGAGAUAUAAAGAAAAAGACAUAUACAUAGAUAGAUUAUCUUUCCAUAAGGUUGAGCGAUCUGAUCUGACAAAUGUUAUAAGUGCUACACUCAUGAACUUAUCAUCCAUCAACUUGUCUUGCUCACUAUGCUUAAGGUUAGAGAAGAACAAAUACACUUUUGGUUUUGUUGGUGUUUUCCACCAACAGGGCCCAUGCACUUGAUCUCUGCCUUGUCUCUAUGAGCAGGUAUACUACGAGCACAAACACACUGAGCAGGAUACUGCCAACACCGCACUUCGAACUGCUGGGCAAAUAAAGAACAUGGGUGACACCGUAUUAAAAGGUGCAGACGUCAAGGUCCGCACCUGAAUCAAAUGACGCACCUGAAGAAUGAACACGGUAAGAAGUCUUGUCAAGAAGACUUAAAACAUUGAACCCUCGCCGAAAGGUAAGAUUGGUAGUUAUCCAUAUUUAUACUUUCUGCAUUCUCUUUUUCCUUUAAUUAUUUACUUUCCUUAAAUAGAUUAUUAGUUAAUCAUGCUAUCUUGAAAAGAAAAUAAAAAUGUUAAAAAAUACUAAGCCCCAUGUGAGUAUACGAGUGGCAUAAAACCCAUAAGUACCUUCACUGUGGUGGCAUAAAAAUAAAAUAAAUAUUUCUUUUCUACUUUAUAAAAUAAAAAUAUAAAAACAGAGAGUAAUAUUUAUUGAGGAAGCUCAACAUGAUGAAGGCUAGAUAUUUAUGCUAACACUUAAUUAGUUCCAUAAGCUUUGUUGUCUAUUUGAGCUCCAUAGAAUUUAAGAAUCAAGAAGACUAGCAGACGGAGGACAUUCUAAUCGCUGUCGGAAUACUGCUGACUUUCAAAUACACCUCUGCUACCUGCUAGCUACAUCAAGAGAAAUUACGUCAAAAUUCAGCUUGGGGGAGAGCACCCCCAUUUAUCUCGCUAAGUAUUUCUACCUAUCUUUAUACUUAUAUUAUAUUAGAAUAUUAAAAUACAUAAACUAUGAAAAAACCAAAUAAAGAUUUUAUGCUUAUAUAUAUAUCUUUUCUUAGUUUGCUAAAUAAAUAAAUAAAUAAAUAAAUAAAUAAAGUUUGUUAUGAAUCUUAAUAAUAAAACUCUAGCAUGGAUAUGAUGAAUAGUUGCUCUGCCUAAUUUGCAAAUUUGAAGUUCUCUCUCAAGUUUAGACAUAACUGUUAUAAUUUAAAGCUUGCUCUAGAUCUAAACUUGUGGGAUGAAAACUUGAUCUGAAAUCUAAGUUGUUAACGGAUAUGAUAUGGGAAGGUUGAGCUGCUGUUUAUCUGUUCCUAGAGAUGCUAGAAUUCUGGAGAAUUUUAUCUUUGAAAAAUCUUUAAAAUAUUGCAUGAUGAGUUCCUGUAUGAUGAAAGUUUAAAUUCCUACCACAGCCAUAUAUACAUGCUUGCUAGAUUUUGAGCCACACAUUUAUUAUUUACUGCUUAUGAGCAUUGAGUGUAGUCAAGCUGUGUAGACCCUUAGGAGCUUGUCAUGUGGUUAAAUCAAGAUUCACUUGCACGUUCACUCAUAUAUGCUACUUCUACUCCGGAAGUACAAUCCACAUAUAUCCAUCCAUUUCCAUCUCCAGUUUCACCCAAAAUCAUUCUACUCCUAAUCCGGAGAGAAUAGCCAAAAACAUUUUCUUAUCCCUGUUAUUCCCUGUGAAAUAAAUGCUCCAGUUAUUUUGGUUACUACCACUUGCUACAUUAUUUCAGGAGAUGAGUGCUCUAAAAAAAAAGGAAAAAAAAAGAGAAAAGAGAAGAAAAGAAAAAUAAUAAUAAUAAACGAGGAAAUAAAAAGGGGCAAGUGCCCGGAACCUCGAAAGAAAAGAAAAAGAGUGAGACGAGAGGUAAAAAUGGACAAGUGUCCGACAGUAGAAUUAGGGGUACAGGAUAUCCAUCUAAGAGAAAAGAAAAAGAAGAGCAUCUCAUUCUCCUCAUAAAGUUUCAAAAAGCAAGGAAGGUAUGUAUCCCCUCAUAAGAGCAAAAGUAGAAUUAGACUUUCGCCAUUGUUAUCACCAUCAUCACUAUACACCAUUCAUUCACCACACAUGCACAUCUUGAUUUGGCUUAUUGAUUUGUUUCUUUGGAUCCAUGGUUUGACUAUACAAUAAAUGUUUUGUAAGUAUGUAUACUUUAUCUCCCACCUAUGAGCUCCAGAUAUUAAAGCCUUAUUAGAGUAGGGUGAGAGAGGAGACAAUGUCACUAUGCCUUAUACCACAAAUACCACAUAUCUUGAGAGAAGGCAUAUACCAUCACUGCCUUGGUAAGGAUCCAGAAAUACCACAAAAGAGAGAUUUAUAGAGUCAUACAAGGAAUCUCUGAGUUUUAUUUGAAAAUCUGCAAAAACUCCAGAGCUAUAGCUGAUCAAGAAUAAGAGACAUGGCACUUGACUGGACUGUUCUAUCUUUUAACCACUCAAGACAGAAGUGACGGUUACAAGUCCCAUGGUGAAAGGUAAAGUAAGUAAGUUUUAAGUCUUGACAGUUUACUCUAACUCAGAGAUGAGACCUCAUUUAAAAGCAUGUGUAUCGUCAAUUUUUAAAGAUACUGCAACAACUUAUGAUCCAUAGCUGAGUCUCCUUGCUCAGGGACGAGCAAGAGGUAAGCUUGGGGGAGUUUGUUGACGGUCCUUAAGUAUCAAAUUUAACUAUCAAAUAAACAAAGAAAAGGAUCCAAAUGAAAUCAACAUCGAGACUUAGGGUUUUAUCUGACAGAAUUCCACGAGUUUUGGUGUUUGUCUAUUUCUGCAGGGGGUUAUCAGGAAAUAAGGAAGAAAGGCCCACACGUCGGGAUUACAUAGAGAUAUCAACGUGCCGUGCAAUUAUCUUACAUCUAGAAGACUCCAGAAGCCACGGGAAGGAAGCGGAGACCGAACGGAGUCAGGGACAGGGCGCCCGCCCAAGUCCUUAGGGCGCCCGCCCACCUUUUUCGGCCAAUCACGCUCAAUCUCGCGGAUUAUGCUCCACUGACCUAAAGGAUCAAGAAUAACCGUUCAAUCAUUGUCGGUUUGAUCUGACGGCCCAGGUUCACUUGAGGGGACUAUAAAACCAGACCCCCUGGCCCCUGGAGGAGGCACCCCUUGAUCAUUAUUCAUUAUUCAUAGACAGAGCAAAAGCUAGGGUUUAGAGAUGAGAGCUCUCCUCUCUUCUCUAAACUAGAGUAGAUCUAGAUAGUAGCGAGAUGGAGAGCGAAGGAGGAUUAGAGGAGAGGCCGGCCUGUCGGUUCUUCCUCCGGU
rnacentral:lncRNA from 1 species